rnacentral:rRNA from 1 species
CUGGCGGCGUGCCUAAUACAUGCAAGUCGAACGGUCUUUCUAUGGAAGCUUGCUUCCACUGAGAAGAUAGUGGCGAACGGGUGAGUAACACGUGGGUAACCUGCCCAUAAGAGGGGGAUAACAUCCGGAAACGGGUGCUAAUACCGCAUAGUUUUCUUGAUCGCAUGAUCGGGAAAGGAAAGACGGCCUUUGUGCUGUCGCUUAUGGAUGGGCCCGCGGCGUAUUAGUUAGUUGGUGAGGUAACGGCUCACCAAGACGAUGAUACGUAGCCGACCUGAGAGGGUGAUCGGCCACAUUGGGACUGAGACACGGCCCAAACUCCUACGGGAGGCAGCAGUAGGGAAUCUUCCGCAAUGGACGAAAGUCUGACGGAGCAACGCCGCGUGAGUGAAGAAAGGGUUUUCGGAUCGUAAAACUCUGUUGUCAGAGAAGAACAAGUUGGAGAGUAACUGCUCCAGCCUUGACGGUAUCUGACCAGAAAGCCACGGCUAACUACGUGCCAGCAGCCGC